rnacentral:rRNA from 1 species
UGGGGAAUAUUGGACAAUGGGCGCAAGCCUGAUCCAGCCAUGCCGCGUGAGUGAUGAAGGCCCUAGGGUUGUAAAGCUCUUUCACCGGUGAAGAUAAUGACGGUAACCGGAGAAGAAGCCCCGGCUAACUUCGUGCCAGCAGCCGCGGUAAUACGAAGGGGGCUAGCGUUGUUCGGAUUUACUGGGCGUAAAGCGCACGUAGGCGGACUAUUAAGUCAGGGGUGAAAUCCCGGGGCUCAACCCCGGAACUGCCUUUGAUACUGGUAGUCUUGAGUUCGAGAGAGGUGGGUGGAAUUCCGAGUGUAGAGGUGAAAUUCGUAGAUAUUCGGGGGAACACCAGUGGCGAAGGCGGCUCACUGGCUCGAUACUGACGCUGAGGUGCGAAAGCGUGGGGAGCAAACAGG